UAGCAAGGCCAGUUAUGAAAAUGUAUCCAAGAAGGUUGAUAUGAUAUUAUAACACAAGUCCAAUGAUUUUUCUUUUUGUUUGUAGAUGAUGAGAAUUAUAACGCUGAUAAAAUUCCUAAUUUGGCUUCAUUUCCAGUGGAUUCCAGAGUUGAAACAUUAUGCGCCUGGGGUCCCAAUUGUUCUCGUUGGAACAAAGCUUGGUAAAAUUUUCUUUGUUGGUGUAUCAAAAUAAAGCAUGCUAUUUUCUUAGAUUUGCUGAUCUUUUCAUGGAGUUUCAGGACAAUAUUCGUACGCUUAUUUGUCAUUUUCUUUUCCCUUUGUAUAUACUUUUUUCUUUUUUAAAACAAUCUGCGAUGAUUUGGUGUUGUCAACUUCUUUUGUUCAAGAUUCCUAAUAUCUGAAAAUUUUUGAGUUUAAUUGACUUUAGCAUGAUCAUCUGAUGGUUAAAUAAUCUGCUAUGCAUAAUUUGCUUAUAUUUAUUGUCUGUAUAUGCUCUUCAGGUAGUUCAUUAUUCCAUAUUAAUGAUUUUGAUGCAGAUGUGAUUAGGAAUGCAUGUCAUGCAUGUUCUUGUUGAGCCACUUACACUGGACAUUUUCAUUCUUUCUUUCUUCUCCUUUUCUGUGUAAUUGAGUAGAUGAAUUCUGAUAUCUAUGCUUUUGCAAUUUGCUUCAUGGCCAAUAUUUUGAGGUCCAACUUAUACAGACUUCUUGUUGAGUAAUCAAUUUUCUGAUUCAUGGGUAAAAAGAUUUAAGUUGCUCAUCAUAGCAUAAUAUAACACAAUUUUCAUUGUGACUGACAUUUGACAGCAUGAGAAAAGGUCGCUUGGUAGAAAUAAUAAACAAAGGUUUUCAUAGCUGAUUAAUUGGUGGAUGUUAUGGGUUUUAAUAAGGGUCAUUACCUUGUAUUUUUGGAUGUUGACAUCGUGGAAAAGACAAUUUCUAGUAGAGAAUGAUUACUGGUUUAGUGUGGAGAGUCAUAUUUUUAGGUAUGACUAUAGAAACAUUGGGGAUUAUCAUUUAGAUGUAUUGAGGGCAACUGUAUAUUUGAUUACUCAAGCCUGACAUGUUUGAAGUCCACUUUGAUGGGGCAUUACUAAUGCCUUAAAAAUUUUGAUAUUGUAUAAGCUUAAUUUUAGCUUAUAUCCUGGCCUAAACAAGGCUUGAUCACUGAGUAAUUUGUGGUGCCUUUAUAUGUACUAUCAGCCUUGCUGACAGAUUAUUGAAGUAAACUUGUAUAAAAUUCUCUUUCAUUAUAAUUUUACGUGUUUUUCCCUUCGUAAAGGUUUUACCUGAUUAUCUUUAAUUUGCUAUUUUCAUUUUUAUUACCUGUUUGUUUAGCCAGGGAGCAUUCUAUUCAGAAUAUUCAUUUAGAGAUGUUAUUUUGAGUUGGUCCUCACUUUUUCUGUGUUUUUCCAAUGAGCCAGAUCUCCGGGAUGAUAAGCAGUUCUUUAUAGACCACCCUGGUGCUGUACCCAUUACUGCAGCUCAGGUAAAGAUUUAUGCCUCAUGUUCUGACAUCAUAUUUGUAUAUCAAUUGAGCAUUAUCCUGAAGUAUUUGUUUCCCAUUUCAUAACCAUUAUUAUCAUUACGUUUUACUUAAAAGGGAGAGGAACUGAGGAAGCUGAUUGGUGCACCUGCUUAUAUUGAAUGCAGUUCAAAAACACAGCAGGUGUAUAAAUUUUCCAGCAGACAUUUUAUUGUCUUUUGAUUGAUGUUGGUCUUUUCAAUUAUAUAGAAUUUGUUAUCUUCUUCCUGUAGAAUGUGAAGGGAGUUUUCGAUGCAGCCAUCAGAGUUGUCCUUCAGCCACCUAAGCAGAAGAAAAAGAAGAAUAAAGGACAAAAAGGGUGUUCCAUAUUGUGAUUGAAAUGAGGAAGUUAAUGGCCUCUUAGCUACCAUAUUCCCCUUUUUCUGUUCUCAUUGCUCUUAAAGAAGCUCAAUUAUUCUCCCAACAGAGUAAUUAGGAUCUCUGUGAAGCAUCAGGUGGUUUGGUAUUGCUUUCUUGGAUUAUUGUGGAUGUCUAAUUGUUGAAUUUGGUUAUGUAAUUGCCCACCUCCUUCUCUUACGUCCCGGUUUUGAUAUGUUUUAUGUAUUAAUAGACUGGAAUAUCCCAGUUAGGAAAACAACCUUGCCUCACAUGGAUUCUAUCUAUUCGUUUCAUUUCAAGGGCUUGGCUGUGUUGUGCUCUCAAUUUCAUGCUCAGAUUUUAGCAGCUUGCUAAUUUCUGAUAAAAAUUGUAGGUUCCUUCAAUCAGUAUCAUUUAUUUUUGUCAUUAUUCUAUUUUUGCUCGUCAAAUAAAUAGUUGAAGACUCUCUGCAGGGCUUAUCAACACGAGUCUUUGCUUGGAAUUUUAAUUAUUUCUUCAAAUUUUAAACUUUGUGAUGGUUCUGAUUAUAUUCACUUUUCAAUGGAUUUUAUUGUUUGAACAGAACGUGAACAUGGUGCGUAUCCCAUAUUUCUCAUCCAAUUUUUUAAAAAAUAGGAAUUGUUAGGAAUAUAGACACGGGUAUAUGUUGGGGGUUUUGUUAGGGGUUUUGUGCUUGAACAAUGAAAUAUUGGAUAAAUAUGUUUAAGGUUUGAAGUAUAUUAUUCUGUAAUUCAAACAAUUGUUAUCAUUAUUGAAAUGGUAAUAUUAUAUUUUCAGAUUUAAUGGAAUUUCAUUUUUG
rnacentral:misc_RNA from 1 species